UGGGGCGUGGUGCGAGUGGUCCAAGCCGUUGCGUUCUGAGCGCAAAUUUCGUCGGUUCGAAUCCGACCGCCCUUACCA
rnacentral:tRNA from 1 species